GCAGUGAUGGUUCAGUGGUAGAAUUCCUGCCUUUCACGCAGGAAACCUUGGUUCGAUUCCUGCC
rnacentral:tRNA from 1 species